GAAUCUUGCGCAAUGGGCGAAAGCCUGACGCAGCGACGCCGCGUGUGGGAUGACGGCCUUCGGGUUGUAAACCACUGUCGGGAGGGACGAAGAUCUGACGGUACCUCCAAAGGAAGCACCGGCUAACUCUGUGCCAGCAGCCGCGGUAAUACAGAGGGUGCGAGCGUUGUCCGGAAUCACUGGGCGUAAAGGGCGCGUAGGCGGCUGGGUAAGUCGGAGGUGAAAUCCCGUGGCUCAACUGCGGGGCUGCCUUCGAGACUGUCUGGCUCGAGCGCGGUAGAGGCUGGUGGAAUUCCCGGUGUAGCGGUGGAAUGCGUAGAGAUCGGGAGGAACAUCGGUGGCGAAGGCGGCCAGCUAGGCCGUUGCUGACGCUGAGGCGCGAAAGCGUGGGGAGCAAACAGG
rnacentral:rRNA from 1 species